GCAGGCUCCAGGCUCCGAGAUGCCAGCACAGAGCCCGACGCGCGGCCCGAACCCACCAACCACGAGAUCAUGACCCGAGCCAAAGUCGGACACCGAGCCAACUGAGCCGUCCAGGCACCCCUGGGCUCUGCUGUCUUAAUGCAAAGGCCGCCAAUGUAAUAUGUAGGCCAUGAGAUGAGCUUCUAGAGGACAGGUCCCUCCAGAAUUCUGAUCUCCAGGCCCAAGGGAGGGAGACCCUCAUGGUCUCACUGACGAGUGAAGGGAACAGGACUCGGUGGCCUGGUCAGAGAUGCUGACGGGGGGAACGGGCUUGGAACACGCAAGUUCCGGGAGAUAUUUAUGGAAGCCUGGUGUGUGCCCUGUACUUCUCUGGGCUCUGGAGGAACAACUGUGAACAAAACAGACAGGAAUCCCUGCCCUCAAGGGGCUGCCGUCCUAAGAGGGAGUCAGACAGUACAAAUCAAUAAGGGCCUGACGACCACAAAGCUAGCUUCUGCCUCUGUGGAUUUGCCUACUCUGGACAUUUCGCAGAAGUGGAGCCAGACCCCGUGUGACCUCGUGGGGCCGGUUCCAUUCCUGCGGCAUCGCAUCGGGUCAAGGUCAUCCAUGACGCAGCCUGUGUCGGGCGUGGUUCGUUUCUUGUCAGGACUCGGUCCCCCAUUCUUGGCCGGUUCUGAGUUGGACAGUCCCCACCCUGCUUCAUCAGGCGGCCUUGAGGAUGGUUAAGUGGGAUAGGAAGAAGCAGGUCCCCGCGUCGCAGCGCAGAGGGGUGGGUCGGCGCCCACAGCAUGGGCAGGAGCCGUAAAAGGGGCUCGUGGGUGCUUUUGGGGGGGGUUGUGGCAGUCGGCUUCGCCGUCAGCCAGCCUUCCUCCCGGGCGGGGGUCGGUGACCACGCGGCCAUCUGGGCUUCCGGGGUUUACUGCCGUUGUCUGUCCUUCCUCUGUCUCUGUCUGUUCUGGUUCUGUGGGCCCCGGGCGGGACUGAGGGUAAAUGGAUGGGCUCUACCACCAUCUUUCCUUUCCUUCUAAGAACUUCUGAGGUUUCCGAAGCAGCCCUUUGGGACGGGCCUCAUGCCCUCCUCGGAGGGGAAGUAGGGGCAGGGAGGCCUCCCAGAGGAGAGGGCCAUGGCCAGGUGACCGAGUGGGGCCGGCCUCGGUCUGUGCUCAGAAAAUGCGGGGCAUUUGGUGAAAGGGCUUUGAUGUCCCUCACUUUGCCCCCCACCCCCUUCAAAGGACGCCUCCCUCCUGGGACACCCAUCCAGAAGCCACCUGCACUGAGGCCCCCCGUGUGCUGGGCCAGCAGGGGAAGAUGCCGGUGAGCUAGCCGUGAGGGCAGCAAGAGAGGAAGGACGGUGACUCUGGGGGUGGCCCCUCGGGUCACGACAGCCCUUCUCACGCCAGUGGCCACAGCGGCUCAGCGGGCCUUGCCUCCACCUGCGUCUCCCCCAGCAGCACCCCCGCUGGCGCCAUAAGGGGGACACAGGUGUACUGUCCCCGAGGCCAGCCACCGGCCAGGGACUGAGGCACACCCUGAGCAGGACAGACCUGGGCAGACAGACAGCUGGCCCCUGUGCCAGGGUGGAGUCUAGUGAGGGAGUGUUAAGGGGACAAAGAGGGCUGUAACUGUCAUGGAGAUAAGGCUGAG